rnacentral:lncRNA from 1 species
GGCAGUAUAUACAAGGUUUGUGAGGCUAUCCCUUUCCUUCUUUUGCACGACUCCGAUUGUACAUAAUGUAAUGAACGAGCUUCCAAGAUACUCUACUCUUAGAAGCUAGUAGUACUUACACUGUUUUCCCUCUUAUGGAACGAUUGAUGUUAAUGUUACUUCUCUUAUUCUUAUGUUAUCAAUGUUGUUCGUACUUCCUAAAUCUUAUAAGGUUCAUAGUGAAGAGUUAGUCCUAAUAACGUGUAUAGAGGAUACCGACCUUACGUCACUCCGAAAGGUUUAGAAUGUGAUUCCAUGAGUCGAGCAUGAAUUAUAUAUAUGUAUCUAUUUUACUCUACCGAGCCACGCUAUAGUUGGCCGGGUACGGCACCUAUUGUGCAACCACUGAUCAGUUGGGUUUUACCGAGCUCCACAUGGCCGAGUACGAUUCUACCGAGCCUAUUAUGACCGGGUACGAUAUGAUGAUAAUGAUGCCCACAGAGGCGAAUGCUUUAAAGGUUUAUGUAUUUAUACAUAUGUAUCAUGCAUUUCAUGUAAGUAGCCCUCAGAGGUACUAAGAUGUUACAGGUUGUAUAUUCUCUAUCCUUGCUUACAUUACUUAUCGUAUUUAUGGUUCCUUGCCUUACAUACUCAGUACUUUAUUCGUACUGACGUCCCUUUAUUUGUGGACGCUGCAUGUCAUGCUGCAGGUCCUGAUAGACAGGCAGGUGCAGCUCCCCCACCACAGUAGACUGUCUAGUUCAGCGGUGAUUGGCGAGAUCCCUUCUCCGGACUUGCCUUGGUCUUGGUAUGCAAUUUUUGUUAUAGACAUUAUGGGUAUGUCGGGGCCCUGUUCCGGCUAUGUUGCAACACUUAUGUUCUUUUAGAGGCUCAUAGACAGGUGUCGG